GUGCACCAGUCGCGAAACCUCCGCAAUACACGAAAGUGUGACGGGGCCAUCCCGAGUGCCGUCCGCUGAGGACGGCUUUUCCCCAGUGUACACAGCUGGGGGAAUAAGGAGAGGGCAAGCCUGGUGUCAGCCGCCGCGGUAAUACCAGCUCUCCGAGUGGUGGGGACGCUUAUUGGGCCUAAAGCAUCCGUAGCCGGCUGGGCAAGUCCUCCGUUAAAUCCAACGAUUCAAUCGUUGGGCUGCGGGGGAUACUGUCCAGCUUGGGGGCGGGAGAGGCCGACGGUAUUCCCGGGGUAGGGGUGAAAUCCUAUAAUCCCGGGAGGACCACCAGUGGCGAAGGCUGUCGGCUAGAACGCGCCCGACGGUGAGGGAUGAAAGCUGGGGGAGCGAACCGGAUUA
rnacentral:rRNA from 1 species